rnacentral:rRNA from 1 species
ACGGGAGGCAGCAGUGGGGAAUAUUGCACAAUGGGGGAAACCCUGAUGCAGCGACGCCGCGUGAGUGAAGAAGUAUUUCGGUAUGUAAAGCUCUAUCAGCAGGGAAGAAAAUGACGGUACCUGACUAAGAAGCCCCGGCUAACUACGUGCCAGCAGCCGCGGUAAUAUGUAGGGGGCAAGCGUUAUCCGGAUUUACUGGGUGUAAAGGGAGCGUAGACGGUAUUGCAAGUCUGAAGUGAAAUCUGGGGGCUCAACCCCCAAACUGCUUUGGAAACUGUAGUACUGGAGUGCAGGAGAGGUAAGCGGAAUUCCUAGUGUAGCGGUGAAAUGCGUAGAUAUUAGGAGGAACACCAGUGGCGAAGGCGGCUUACUGGACUGUAACUGACGUUGAGGCUCGAAAGCGUGGGGAGCAAACAGGAUUAGAUACCCUGGUA